GGGAUUUACCACCUUCUCCCACAUGAGUCCUUUGGGCUGUACUGAACCCAGUCAGCCACGCUGCUAAACCUCUGCAGAGAAGAAUUUUGUGGUCAUAGGUCAUCAAGGGCCCCAACAAAGUACGCGUACCAACGGGACACUAAUCUUACGUUUGCUACAUCAAGUCACGUGACUGGGGAAAGUCACAGGUAUUAGCAGCGUGGGCACCGGUGAACCUAAAAAUAGUGUUUUGCCCUGUUAUGUUAUAUUUGUCUCCUGUUUAAUAUAAUUAUUGUGUUGAACAUAUUGUAUGUGUUUGUGUUAUUUCUUGGAAGUUUCCAACUAUCUGACAAGUAAGUGGGGGUUACCCUGUGGCUAGAAUUUUCCUCCCAAGCUGCCCUGGUGACCCUGCCAGGAAGGAGGGAGGGGGUGUGUGUGGAAGGACAGUGACAUAA